AGGUAAGAUCAGACUACUGAGCUUCUCUAUUUUUUUAUAUCAAAAUGGAUUGUACUUUUUUAUUGGCUAGGUAUCUUUUUGAUCUCUUAUGUCAGAUAUUCAGAUUUAAUUUCUAGAACUCCUUUAUGAGUCUCCACUCUGAGGCCAUUAUGUAGGCAACAGUGCAAGUACUCUUCCUACUAAGUGCGUUUGCAACCAUAUUACCUUUUCUCAGAUGGUAUAGGAUCUUGCAAUCAUAAUCCUUAAGUAAUUCAAUCCAUCUCCUUUGGCACAUAUUAAGUUCUUUCUGCGAGAACAAAU
rnacentral:lncRNA from 1 species